CCUACGGUGGGCAGCAGUGGGGAAUAUUGCACAAUGGGGGAAACCCUGAUGCAGCGACGCCGCGUGAGUGAAGACGUAUUUCGGUAUGUAAAGCUCUAUCAGCAGGGAAGAAAAUGACGGUACCUGAUUAAGAAGCCCCGGCUAACUACGUGCCAGCAGCCGCGGUAAUACGUAGGGGACCAGCGUUAUCCGGAUUUACUGGGUGUAAAAGGAGCGUAGACGGCAGCACAAGUCUGGAGGGAAAUGCCGGGGCUUAAACCCCGAACUGCCUUUGAAACUGUGAAGCUUGAGUGCAUGAGAGGUAAGUGGAAUGCCUAGUGUAGCGGUGAAAUGUGUAGAUAUUAGGAGGAACACCAGUGGCGAAGGCGGCUUACUGGACUGUAACUGACGUUGAGGCUCGAAAGCGUGGGGAGCAAACAGGAUUAGAUACCCUUGUAGUC
rnacentral:rRNA from 1 species